UUUUUUAGAGUUUGAUCCAUGGCUCAGAUUGAACGCUGGCGGCAUGCCUUACACAUGCAAGUCGAACGGUAACAGGUCUUCGGACGCUGACGAGUGGCGAACGGGUGAGUAAUACAUCGGAACGUGCCCAGUCGUGGGGGAUAACUACUCGAAAGAGUAGCUAAUACCGCAUACGAUCUGAGGAUGAAAGCGGGGGACCUUCGGGCCUCGCGCGAUUGGAGCGGCCGAUGGCAGAUUAGGUAGUUGGUGGGAUAAAAGCUUACCAAGCCGACGAUCUGUAGCUGGUCUGAGAGGACGACCAGCCACACUGGGACUGAGACACGGCCCAGACUCCUACGGGAGGCAGCAGUGGGGAAUUUUGGACAAUGGGCGAAAGCCUGAUCCAGCAAUGCCGCGUGCAGGAUGAAGGCCUUCGGGUUGUAAACUGCUUUUGUACGGA
rnacentral:rRNA from 1 species